UGGGGAAUUUUUGGACAGUGGGCGAAAGCCUGAUCCAGCAAUGCCGCGUGUGUGAAGAAGGCCUUCGGGUUGUAAAGCACUUUUGUCCGGAAAGAAAUCCUUGGCUCUAAUACAGUCGGGGGGAUGACGGUACCGGAAGAAUAAGCACCGGCUAACUACGUGCCAGCAGCCGCGGUAAUACGUAGGGUGCAAGCGUUAAUCGGAAUUACUGGGCGUAAAGCGUGCGCAGGCGGUUUGCUAAGACCGAUGUGAAAUCCCCGGGCUCAACCUGGGAACUGCAUUGGUGACUGGCAGGCUAGAGUAUGGCAGAGGGGGGUAGAAUUCCACGUGUAGCAGUGAAAUGCGUAGAGAUGUGGAGGAAUACCGAUGGCGAAGGCAGCCCCCUGGGCCAAUACUGACGCUCAUGCACGAAAAGCGUGGGGGAGCAAAACAGGAUUAGAUACCCUGGUAGUCCACGCCCUAAACGAUGUCAACUAGUUGUUGGGGAUUCAUUUCCUUAGUAACGUAGCUAACGCGUGAAGUUGACCGCCUGGGGGAGUACGGUCGCAAGAUUAAAACUUAAAUGAAUUGACGGGGUCAUAGCUGUUUCC
rnacentral:rRNA from 1 species